GUGCUCGCUUCGGCAGCACAUAUACUAAAAUUGGAACGAUACAGAGAAGAUAAACAUGG
ensembl:snRNA U6 U6 spliceosomal RNA